rnacentral:tRNA from 1 species
CGGGGAGUGGCUCAACUUGGUAGAGCGUCCGUUUCGGGUGCGGAAGAUUGCGGGUUCAAAUCCCGUCUCUCCGA